GAGCUAACGCGUUAAAUCGACCGCCUGGGGAGUACGGCCGCAAGGUUAAAACUCAAAUGAAUUGACGGGGGCCCGCACAAGCGGUGGAGCAUGUGGUUUAAUUCGAUGCAACGCGAAGAACCUUACCUACUCUUGACAUCCAGAGAACUUUCCAGAGAUGGAUUGGUGCCUUCGGGAACUCUGAGACAGGUGCUGCAUGGCUGUCGUCAGCUCGUGUUGUGAAAUGUUGGGUUAAGUCCCGCAACGAGCGCAACCCUUAUCCUUUGUUGCCAGCGGUUCGGCCGGGAACUCAAAGGAGACUGCCAGUGAUAAACUGGAGGAAGGUGGGGAUGACGUCAAGUCAUCAUGGCCCUUACGAGUAGGGCUACACACGUGCUACAAUGGCGCAUACAAAGAGAAGCGACCUCGCGAGAGCAAGCGGACCUCAUAAAGUGCGUCGUAGUCCGGAUUGGAGUCUGCAACUCGACUCCAUGAAGUCGGAAUCGCUAGUAAUCGUGG
rnacentral:rRNA from 1 species